rnacentral:rRNA from 1 species
UAAUACAGAGGGUGCAAGCGUUAAUCGGAAUUACUGGGCGUAAAGGGUGCGUAGGUGGUUAGUUAAGUUAAGUGUGAAAGCCCCGGGCCUAACCUGGGAAUGGCGCUUAAUACUGGCUAGCUAGAGUACUGUAGAGGAAAGUGGAAUUUCCGGUGUAGCGGUGAAAUGCGUAGAUAUCGGAAGGAACAUCAGUGGCGAAGGCGACUUUCUGGACAGAUACUGACACUGAGGCACGAAAGCAUGGGGAGCAAACAGGAUUAGAUACCCUGGUAGUCCAUGCCGUAAACGAUGAGAACUGGCUGUUGGGUGCUUAUGCACUUGGUAGCGAAGCUAACGCGUUAAGUUCUCCGCCUGGGGAGUACGGCCGCAAGGUUA